rnacentral:rRNA from 1 species
CUACGGGCCGCAGCAGUGAGGAAUAUUGCACAAUGGAGGAAACUCUGAUGCAGCAACGCCGCGUGGAGGAUGACGCAUUUCGGUGUGUAAACUCCUUUUAUAUGUCAAGAAAAUGACGGUAGCAUAUGAAUAAGCACCGGCUAACUCCGUGCCAGCAGCCGCGGUAAUACGGAGGGUGCAAGCGUUACUCGGAAUCACUGGGCGUAAAGGACGCGUAGGCGGGAUAUCAAGUCAGGUGUGAAAUCCUACAGCUUAACUGUAGAACUGCACUUGAAACUGGUAACCUAGAGUAUGGGAGGGGGAGAUGGAAUUAGUGGUGUAGGGGUAAAAUCCGUAGAUAUCACUAGGAAUACCUAAAGCGAAGGCGAUCUCCUGGAACAUAACUGACGCUAAGGCGUGAAAGCGUGGUGAGCAAACAGGAUUAGAUACCCCAGUAGUC